AGGCCCUUGCUCAAUGUGAGAUGACACGAAGCAGUUUGGGUAUCGUCAGAAUCAAUGCCGAUGACACUGCUCUGGCUGCACAGAUGGUGGCCUCAACUGGCCUACGGAAUACUGGUGCUGUUGCAAGUGCUCGCGCUGCAAAAAUUUAUGGGCUUGAAAUUCUUGCAGAAAAAAUUCAAGAUGAUGACAAUAAUAUCACUCGCUUUUUGAUACUUGCAAGAGAAUCGAUAAUUCCA